GUAGCUUGCUACUUUGCCGGCGAGCGGCGGACGGGUGAGUAAUGUCUGGGAAACUGCCUGAUGGAGGGGGAUAACUACUGGAAACGGUAGCUAAUACCGCAUGACCUCGUAAGAGCAAAGUGGGGGACCUUCGGGCCUCACGCCAUCGGAUGUGCCCAGAUGGGAUUAGCUAGUAGGUGAGGUAAUGGCUCACCUAGGCGACGAUCCCUAGCUGGUCUGAGAGGAUGACCAGCCACACUGGAACUGAGACACGGUCCAGACUCCUACGGGAGGCAGCAGUGGGGAAUAUUGCACAAUGGGCGCAAGCCUGAUGCAGCCAUGCCGCGUGUGUGAAGAAGGCCUUAGGGUUGUAAAGCACUUUCAGCGAGGAGGAAGGGUUCAGUGUUAAUAGCACUGUGCAUUGACGUUACUCGCAGAAGAAGCACCGGCUAACUCCGUGCCAGCAGCCGCGGUAAUACGGAGGGUGCAAGCGUUAAUCGGAAUUACUGGGCGUAAAGCGCACGCAGGCGGUUUGUUAAGUCAGAUGUGAAAUCCCCGAGCUUAACUUGGGAACUGCAUUUGAAACUGGCAAGCUAGAGUCUUGUAGAGGGGGGUAGAAUUCCAGGUGUAGCGGUGAAAUGCGUAGAGAUCUGGAGGAAUACCGGUGGCGAAGGCGGCCC
rnacentral:rRNA from 1 species